rnacentral:rRNA from 1 species
GACGAACGCGGCGGCGUGCUUAACACAUGCAAGUCGAACGAAGAGCGAUGGAAGCUUGCUUCUAUCAAUCUUAGUGGCGAACGGGUGAGUAACGCGUAAUCAACCUGCCCUUCAGAGGGGGACAACAGUUGGAAACGACUGCUAAUACCGUAUACGAUCUAAUCUCGGCAUCGAGGAUAGAUGAAAGGUGGCCUCUACAUGUAAGCUAUCACUGAAGGAGGGGAUUGCGUCUGAUUAGCUAGUUGGAGGGGUAACGGCCCACCAAGGCGAUGAUCAGUAGCCGGUCUGAGAGGAUGAACGGCCACAUUGGGACUGAGACACGGCCCAGACUCCUACGGGAGGCAGCAGUGGGGAAUCUUCCGCAAUGGACGAAAGUCUGACGGAGCAACGCCGCGUGAGUGAUGACGGCCUUCGGGUUGUAAAGCUCUGUUAAUCGGGACGAAAGGCCUUC